CAGAUUUCCUCGUCGUCAUUUCACACUCGAUUCUCAACGAAGUUUGCUAAAUCGUCAGCCAACAGGAGAAACAUGUCGAAGAUCGUAUUCCUCCUUCUGGUCGCGGUCUUGGCUACCGCUUUGAGCUACCCCGCUACCGAACUACAAGAAACACCAUUGUCGAGGAUGGCUAGAGAGGCGUUGCCGGAACCAGCUCGCAAUCGUGGACACGGAUACAAAGGACAAGGUGGCGGUGGUCAUCAUGAUCACGGUCAUCAUGGCUACCCACAAUACCACAACCACUAUCCUAAACAUGGACACGGAGGAUACCAUGGUUAAAAUUCUCCGCUCGGAAGCGCUUCCUCUUCUCGAGAGCAAUUAUUGGAUCGUUCGCAUAGGGACGAUGAAACUGAUUGGCUAGAUUGCACACUGACAAAAAUAAUAAUUAGUUGCAUCGCUCGCAUUUCUGUAAUACUCCCGAAAUGCGUACCUAAUUCUGUACAAUAAAAUAUUUGUUAUAGUAA